rnacentral:rRNA from 1 species
UUGGUUACGAAAUACUAGAGGCUAGUAGGGAAAAGGGAACUCCCAGUGUAGGGGGAAAUGGUAGAUUUUUGAGAACACCAGUGGCAAAGGGGCUUUUUGGACUAGAUCGGCGGCUGAGGUACGAAAGCAUGGGGAGCGAACGGGAUUAGAUACCCCGGUAGUCCAUGCCGUAAACGUUGUUCACUAGGUGUUGGAGGUAUCGACCCCUUCGGUGCCACAGAUAAUUCGUUAAGUGAACCGCCUGGGAAGUACAACCGCAAGGUUAAAACUCAAAGGAAUUGACGGGGGCCCACACAAGCAGUGGAGCAUGUGGUUUAAUUCGACGAUACGCGAAGAACCUUACCAGGGUUUGACAUCCGCAGAAUCUUCUAGAGAUAGAGGAGUGCCUUCGGGAAUUGCGUGACAGGUGGUGCAUGGCUGUCGUCAGCUCGUGUCGUGAGAUGUUGGGUUAAGUCCCGCAACGAGCGAAACCCCUAUCUUAUGUUACCAGCACGUUAUGGUGGGGACUCAUAAGAGACUGCCCGUGGAAAGCGGGAGGAAGGUGGGGAUUACGUCAAGUCAUCAUGCCCCUUAUACCCUGGGCUACACACAUGCUACAAUGGCUGGUACAAAGGGUUGCGAAACCGCGAGGUGGAGCCAAUCCCAUAAAACCAGUCUCAGUUCGGAUUGUAGUCUGCAACUCGACUACAUGAAGUAGGAAUUGCUAGUAAACGCAGAUCAGCUACGCUGCGUUGAAUAUGUUCCUGGGCCUUGUACACACUGCCCGUCACACCAUGAAAGUUGGAAACACCCGAAGCCAGUGUGCUAACCCUUGUGGAAGCAGCUGUCGAAGGUGGAGCUAGCGAUUGGGGUGAAGUCGUAACAAGGUAGCCGUACCGGAAGGUGUGGCUG